rnacentral:rRNA from 1 species
UACGUAGGGUGCAAGCGUUAAUCGGAAUUACUGGGCGUAAGCGUGCGCAGGCGGUUUGUAAGUCAGAUGUGAAAUCCCCGGGCUUAACCUGGGAACUGCGUUUGAAACUACAAGGCUAGAGUGUGGCAGAGGGGGUGGAAUCCGCGUGUAGCAGUGAAAUGCGUAGAUAUGCGGAGGAACACCGAUGGCGAAGGCAAUCCCUGGGCCUGCACUGACGCUCAUGCACGAAGCGUGGGAGCAAACAGG